rnacentral:rRNA from 1 species
CGGGGGGGGGGCGAGCGUUGUUCGGAAUUACUGGGCGUAAAGGGCGCGUAGGCGGGUUGGGAGAAGUUUCAGGGUGAAAGCCCCGGGCUCAACCCGGGAAGGUCCUGGAAAACCAUCGGACUUGAGUGCUGGAGAGGCAAGCGGAAUUUCUGGUGUAGCGGUGAAAUGCGUAGAUAUCAGAAGGAACACCGGAGGCGAAGGCGGCUUGCUGGACAGCAACUGACGCUGAGGCGCGAAAGCCAGGGGAGCGAACGGGAUUAGAUACCCCGGUAGUCCUGGCCGUAAACGAUGGGUACUUGGUGUUGUUGACGAGAAGGUUGGCAGUGCCGGCGAAAACUCGUUAAGUACCCCGCCUGGGGAGUACGAUCGCAAAGAUUG